rfam:TPA: Bos taurus chromosome 7, whole genome shotgun sequence.
UCCCUGGUGGACCAAUGGUUAGGACUUGGCACUUUCCCUGCUGAGGCCUGGGUUCAAUCCCUGGUCAGGGAA